AUUGAACGCUGGCGGCCGGCCUAACACAUGCAAGUCGAACGAGUGGCGGACGGGUGAGUAAUGUCUGGGAAACUGCCUGAUGGAGGGGGAUAACUACUGGAAACGGUAGCUAAUACCGCCUACCAUCGGAUGUGCCCAUAUGGGAUUAGCUUGUUGGUGGGGUAACGGCUCACCAAGGCGACGAUCCCUAGCUGGUCUGAGAGGAUGACCGGCGACACUGGACCUGGGGCACGGUCCAGACUCCUACGGGAGGCAGCAGUGGGGAAUAUUGCACAAUGGGCGCAAGCCUGAUGCAGCCAUGCCGGGUGUAUGAAGAAGGCCUUCGGGUUGUAAAGUACUUUCAGCGGGGAGGCGUUACCCGCAGAAGAAGCACCGACUAACUCCGUGCCAGCAGCCGCGGUAAUAC
rnacentral:rRNA from 1 species